AGCCGACGGGCGAGCGCUUCCCGGGGCGCUGCGGGCCGCGUCUGCCGCCACAGAUGAGAGAGUUGAGACAAGAAGGAACUUACAUCUACAGCCCAGUCUCAUACAACUGGCUGCAAACUUGAGGAGGCUAAAAUGCAUCUUUUCUUUGUUCACUCCUGCAUCUUGAGCAUCGAGUACAGUGCCAGACAUAUGAUACAGGAACUGAGGCUGAGCAAGAUUAAGUGACCUGCCUAACUCAUAGAACUGGUAAGUGAAAGAAACUCCAUCUGAAAGGUGAGCAGCAUUUAUGUUUUUGCUCCAUUCAGCAAAUGUCCAAGGUAUAGAAUGAGACCAAAAAGUUGUUGAGGUCACACAAAAUCCAUCCCGAAUCAUUGAAAUGGAAAUACCUCAUGAUACCUUAGAUACAGAUUCAGACAAAUUUCAGAUGAGUCUGAAAUCUGGGAUAUCAGAGGCCAUCAUUUUACAGGUAAGUGUGAAUGGAAAAGAAAAUCAACUUUGGAGUCUUCAUGUCCCUGUGUCUAGAAUGGUCUCUUGGUCUUAAUAUCUUAAAAUAAACUAGAGUGGUUAAGUUUUCAUAAUUAUUCAUUGCUGCUUUCAAAAAUAAUCUUAAGGUGAUUUAGGGUGGGUGUCUUCUGCAAACUCCUCUGUAGAACUUUCUGUGGUGUUUCUCCCUGCCCUGAGGUCCAGGGUCAUUUCACUGAGACUUGAUAGAGCUUGAAUUCUAACUCAGUAUGUUUCACUCUAAAUCACAUGUUUUUUUCAUCCAUCACACUGGCCUGCUCUCCAGAGAUCAGAGACCAGUGCCAUUUUGCGUGCAACCUAAGCAAUGUCUGCUUCCAAGAUGCCCUUGUCUGCAGCCUCCUCCACACGGGUGUAUUUCAGUGCUUCUCAGAAUAGGAUGUUCAUUUGCUUCCUCCUUUUGAUAUAGAGAUUCUCUCCCCACUGCUAAUAGACAACAGAGCUGCUGGCCACAAUGGGAGACCUCUAGGCAGAGCAUGGAUGGACUCUUCAAAGGCCUGGAGCAGGGGGAGGGCCUCCGGAACCCAGCUGCCUCACAGAUGGGGCUCAUUAUCCACAUCACUCUCCCCCACUGAAGGGAGGCCAGCAGAGAGCCACAGAAAAUUAGAGGCUUGUGCUGGAGAGGCCAGAUGUCGAGACAACAGGGACAUCCUGUCUCCACUGGCCGGGCUGGUGGCUUUGAGUGCUUUUUGCUGCGGUGGACAGGGUGGGCUUUUGACUGCAUGGGAUGAAGGUCAUGCAAAGAAGCGAUGCUAAGGAGAAGUCAGGGGGAAUGCUCAUGAGACAAAGGGAUUGGGCCAUUUCCUUGAGUCCCACCUGGGCAGGUGUGGAACACACAGGUACUAAAGGGAUCUCGCAUUGGUUGGAACUUACUGUUUAUACAACUGUGUUUGGACACACAUCACCUUACUGAUUCUGAGGGCAAUCAUUUGACCUAGGGGAUAUUUUCAAUAUCUGUAAAUAGUAGCAGUAAUACCCUAAUCUUAAGGGGUGAAGGGUUUUGGUCAAGGCCUCAUGGUUGUAAGUGACAGCAGUAGGACUUGAGCCAUGUACUUGACCGUCAGCCUUUCUUGCUUUUGCUGUUUUGGACCAGCUGUUUUGGCAUCACCUGGUAAUUUGUUACCAACACAGAUCCCAAUCUCAUUGCAGACUUAUUAAAUACCCAGAGAUCUGAGCUUUAGCCAGCUCUCUGUGUGAUUUGAAUGCACACUAAGAUUCGAGGACUAUUGCUACACUGUGCUACUGUCCUUUGAAGCAGGGGUCUCUGGAGAUUUGCUAGUCUUUUCCAGUCCCUUUCAAUUAAAGCUCUAGUUUUCAGAAACAGAAAAAUAGCCUUCAGGAGUCUCCUGGGCUAGGUAUUGUGAGAUUUGGCUGUCUUCAAUGAAAACAAAUCCUAGUGAAAUAAUUUUUCGCAUGGCUCAGUCUGACUUCCUCUGGUUCAGUGGCUGCAGGUGGUGAGAUGCAAAGAGGCAAGAGAGCAGAGCAUGGCAAAAUGCUUUUGGGAAACGCAGAUCCUGUCUUGGCUUCCUAAGUUCCUCACUGAGUAGAACUCACAUGCUGGCUUCUCAGCAGGCAGCAGGGAUGGUGCUACAAUUUGAUCACAAAGAAAGCAGUCCUUUGUUAUCUGUCCACCAUCCAAAUGCAUGUUCUCCAUCCUGGGCUGUAGUCAGUGAACAGCACUCAUCAACCAAGGGUCUGGUUGUGAUGGCCCCACUGUGAUGGGCGCAGAUGAAACCAAAAGGUCAUGUUCUGAACGGCAACUUUCUUAUAGUUGUUUUAGGCCAUCCUUAAAAUACCAACUCAGAGACAUGGAAAGCAGCAGUCUGCAUAACCAAACAUGGCAAAUUUGAUGUUAAAAAGAAUGAAUCCAGAGUGUUAUAAUAAAAAGGUAUCAAAUUAGGAGACUAGAAAUUUGAGUUAAAAACAGCUCAGCCAGUCCCAGGAGACUAGCUGGUAUCCAAGUAAUAGCCAGUACCAAAUCCUGGGAGAAAACCAGUGUCUGUCACAGACACAUCCUACAUGCUGAGAAAGGGGAAGGUGAUUUAAGGAAGAUUGGCCAUGAGGACUAGGAGGCCUGUGGCUGCAAUCAUAAGAGAUGGAGUUACUGUUAUGCCAGUAGCUUCCCAUGGUGGUUAUCAAAAUAAAGGUUAUUUACUCUUUUCACAAGUUGUUUUUCUCUACAGAUAGAACCCAUUGUAAUAACAGAAUGAAGGUAUUGGGCUGAGAGAACUGCACUCAGCUAUUCUCUGGAAUUAGUGCAAUUUAGCAGGAAAAUAAAUAAAAGGGUAACUCAUCAACUCAUAGGUUCACCUUUCUGUUCAUUCUGAAGUCCAUGUUUCAAGAAGAUGUUGAUAAACUGGGUGAAAUCCAGAGAUGGGAAUGACAUUCUUAUGAGUCGGUGGCAGGAUUUGAUGAUGUUUUGACUGGGGAAUAAAUAACUUUAAAAAGAUGGGGAGCAAAAUCCCCUACCUUCAAAUCCUUCUGUCUGAAGGUUUUUUUGUCAUUAAAAAUUCUAGGAGAUAUCCAAGUUUGAGGGCACUUGAAAAUAGAUAACGUCAGCCUUCAUGGUUUCAGCCCUCCAACAGCAGGCCAUUUGUGCAUUUUCCAUAGUCCCCUGUAGUUCUCUAGUCCAUGCAGUUUGCUUCAUUGCAUCCUACAUUUGUUUCCUUCUCUGUGGCUCCCAAAUUCAAUCUGAGGACCAGCAGUGAAAAAUGCAGGAGGCCAUGUGUAACAUAUUACUAGUAAGAGGAUCCACAUGUGUAGCACACUACAAUUAACUGGGAUCUCACAAUCAAAACCAUCUAAUAAUGGAGCCAGACACCAUGCUGGGGAAGAGCUUCUUUCCCCGGGGCUAUGCAAGCAGAAAUUGAAGGGAGUAUAUCAGUAAGGCUGUUAGCGUAAGCCCAUAGUUGGUCAGGAUAGCUUUCAUGCUUGCUUCCUGUUCAUAAAUGUGCAUAUGAUUCCACCAUCACUGUUCUCCUUCAUUUCAUGAAUACAAACCUUGAAACACCAUUCCUGAAAUAAACGGCAAUAAUGGAACUAAUAUAUAUUUUUUUCCAUACCUGCUAUGCAUCAGUUCUGUACUUUUGUUCCCUUCAUAUUACCUCUCAUUAGGAAAA